rnacentral:lncRNA from 1 species
GAUGGGAUCCGGUGCAUUAGUGCAAGUAUGAUCGCACCUGAUAUAUAAUACAGUUUAAUUGUAUAUAUGUCUUCCAUCUUUCAGGCCGAAUUUUGGAGAAAUCCGAGAAACUAGAAUAAAUUUCAUUAAUCUCGCCAAAAAUUGAACGAUAAAAUUUAUAACAAGGUGAAAACUAAACAAAAUAAAACAAAAUCGAAAAAAGAGGUCCAACAAAAGGACUUCCCAGGAGGUCACCCAUCCUAGUACUACUCUCGCCCAAGCACGCUUAGCUGCGAAGUUCUGAUGGGAUCCAGUGCAUUAGUGCUGGUAUGAUCGCACCUGAUAUAUAAUACGGUUUAAUUGUAUAUAUGUCUUCCAUCUUUCAGGCCGAGUUUUGAAGAAAUCUGAGAAACUAGAAUAAAACACGAUAUUUUUCAUUAAUCUCGCCAAAAAUUGAACGAUAAAAUUUAUAACACGGUGAAAACUAAACGAAAUAAAAAAAAUCGAAAAUAAAGGGGCAACACAAGGAUUCCCAGGAGGUUACCCAUCCUAGUACUACUCUCGCCCAAGCACGCUUAACUACGGAGUUCUGAUGGGAUCCAGUGCAGUAGUGCUGGUAUGAUCGCACCUGAUAUAUGAUACGGUUUAAUUGUAUAUAUGUCUUCCAUC